ACACUUACUAAAACAGGACACUUUUGAUGUUAUCUACACUUUCAAAAAUUAAUAAUAUGCUCAAAAGCCAAAUAUAAGUUAAUCUAAACGCCAAGUAAGUCCAUUCCACGUGUCAAAUGGAGUAUUAAUAAACAAAUACAAUUUAACUAGACAGAUCAAUUUACGCUUAUUAACACAAUAUCGAGACCAACCUGAACAACUAGUAGAGUUGGCUCCGGCCAGUGUCCACGUAUCAAAUUGAAUAUUAAUAAACGAAUGCAACCUCAACUAGAGAGAUAUCAACUUAGCGCGUAUUAACAUAAUUUAUAAAGGAAUAAUUCUCUAACUUUUGGGUCAUAUAGCACAAACAGGCCCAGUAUUCACUUCAGGCCCAAUCUCAAGUCAUCUUAUAUUGUAGCUAGUACACUUCUUGCCUAUUACAUGUUUGAUGAAAUGCCUAGCUGGUAAUUUGAGCUGUUUGUGUUUGAUUUUGGUGCAGAAAAGUGGAGAAUGGGCGAUUACUCAUGAUCUGUGUAAUGUUAUCGCUGUGGUUGUAGCAUAAGCAGGGGUGGAUCUUGGAGGGGGCGAGGGUGUUCACCCAACCUCCUCGGCUAAAAAUUACAAGGUAUAUUUUUAUAAAGCAACUUGUUAAUGGAUAUAUAAACUUGGAUUCCCCUAAACACAAGGCUAGUUAGUGGUUUAGGGAAAUUAAAAAUUCACCUUGAGAUUCCUAGUUCAAAUCCCAAGCACUACAUUUUCAUUUUUCGACCCGGCUCCUUAGUGAAAAUUGUGGAUCCGCCAUUGAGAAUGAGGUUGCAGAUCUUCGACUUCAUGUGGCAGGGACUUAGUCUCGUAGUCUUUCGGUCUAUCCACACUCUCUCUUGAUUCUCUCCUCAUAAAAAGGGUAGCCAUGUCCCAUGGUUCACAACAUAUUUGGUGAUGCAUUUGAGAAAUCUCUUUGAUUCAACCUAUUUGGUGAUGCACAUAUAAUCUUGCAGUUAAGAGGACUUCUUCUUACGUGCCAUUUUAGUCAUAACGGGCAGCACAAGGGGCUGCGACAUUCAAUCUUUAAGGUUCUUAGCACUGAACUCAUUGUACCCUUGAUAUUAUGAGUUUGAAAUAUAAUAUUAUUGAAAAUUUAGUGGUCUUUUGUGUCUAAUAUGGUUUCAUUUGAACCUAUUGAGCAAAGGUUACAUCCACGGUCUAGUUAUAUGACAGAAAUUUAAAUGGGAUUGGACGGCCCCUUCCUCAAGGGCGUUGUGUUUCCUAUAUAGUGUGUUCAGGGAAGAUCUAGAAGGUCGGUUGCGGGUUCACAUCAACCCAAUAGUUUUUGCCCAGAGCCCCUGAUACUGUCUCUCUAUAAUAACUAAUCCACUUAAUAUAUAUAAAUAUUUGAUUGUGAACUCAGUUAUUAUUGUAUUAUUCACUUGAAAUCACAAUAGGAAUUCAUUAUCUGUGCAUGGACUGGACAUUCAUAAAUAUAUACAUUCAUAAUAGGUAGGUAUACCUAUUAUGCAUAAAUAUAUACAUUCAUAUAUAAUCUUUAAGUUAUGAGCAAAGCUUAACCUGAAAAUUAUCUGUGCAUGGACUGGAAAGUCCUUAACAUGAAAUUGAUUACACCCAAAAAGAAGUCUUAAAAAAGAGAAAAAGUAAAACUAACAUGAUUAUCGCCAUUUCCAACCUUAAUGAAUGGACUAUACAUUUAAGAUGGUCAGAUGUUCGACUGGUUCUCGUUCAGCCUUCCCAGCUUCACAGUCCAUCGGCUGGUAGGGUGAUCAAUUUAGGGGGCACCAAAUUCCUCUUUAGGUCUGGACUCAACAACGUUCUUCGGUCUUUUUCUUUUUCCAUCCGAUGAACAAUAUUUGCUUUUGGGCUUGAUUAAUCCGGAUUCAUGCCAGAGAAUCCCAUUAUGGGAGGUAAAGGGUUCUCUACCUGCAGCGAUUCCAUUCCCAAGGCUCGAACUUAGGACUUUUAGUUAAAGUUCCUAAGUCUUCACUUUCAGUGGGGGCAGUGCUUUGUUGCUGGGGUUUCCUUUUCCUCAACCAAGUCGGUUGUGUCAGCCUUAAGAUAGGUCUAACAUUUUGUUAUGAGUAUAUUGGACAAAGAUCGAUUGAAAGAUAAAUUUGAGUAUCCAUAAUGUAUUACUUUGUCAUAUGCAACAAAAUACUAUUGCUAUUAUUAUUACUAUUAUUAUUAUAACAACUAAAAAAUAACAAUGGUACAUAACUAUAUAUGGAUAAAAAGUGAAAAAAUAUAUGGACAUUUAACUCCACUGAUACUUUAGCACAGGACACUCUUUGAAGCUCUAUGAAAUUUCACUGUUUUUUUUACAUUGUUUUGUUUUAUGGUCCUAAUAAUGCACUCUCUCUGUUUAAGACUUUAUCAUCUUUAGUACAUUCAUUUCAUGUUUCCUCUUGUUUCUAUUUUGUAGUGUCCCACCAUUUUUCUGCAUUCACUUGUGGACCUUUUAGAUAGUUGAGAGUAGAGACGGAUGUAGAGUAUUGUAUCAAGUUUAUCAGAAUUAAGUACUUCCGAUACAGAACAAAAAAAAUUAUGUAUAAAAUCCACAAAAAUUAACAAAUAGUAUAUGUGAACUCAUAACUUUAAAGAGAUAAUAGGUUCAACGUUAAGAACCUUAUGGGCGGCGGCACAAGGGGCUACAACUUUUUCCUUAUAAGUUUGACGAGCUCAAUCUUUAAGGUUCCUAGCACUGAACUCAUUGUACCCUUGAAACUAUGAAUUAGGAAUUUAAUAUUUGUUAGAAACUUUGGUGGUCUUUCACAUCUAUUUCAGGGUUCAUUUGAACCUAUUGAGUAAAGGCCACAUUAAAUGGUCAAGAUUUUGUUAAGAAAGGCCCCUCACCCAGAACGUUGUGAUUCCUAUAAAGCGUGUUUAAGGGAGGAUGUAGUGGGUUCACGUGAAUCCAAUAGUUUUUUUUCCAUACGCUCAUCUAUAAUAACAAUAACACUAUACACAGUUGCCCAUGCCAGCAUGGGCCUAGUGUCUUGGUAUUUUUAAAAUUUAAUUUAUGUGAUAUAGGUAGAAAUUAGAAUGUUGGUUAAAUUUUAAUAUGAUUUUUUUAGAUUUGUAAGUUGUUAAUUACUUUUUGUUUGCGCAAAUUUAUUGUGAAGAGGUCCAUCAACCAUUGAUUUUUUACUCAAAACAGUUACAAGAUAUAAACAAAUAUUACAAACAUUCAAAACAAUAAAGCAGUGAUCGAUUUUUUACUCAAAACAGUUACAAGAUAUAAACAAAUAUUACCAACAUUCAAAAUAAUAAAGCAAUGCUUAAAGAUAAUGAUUAAAACUAAAAGUCAUACCUAAAACGGAUUUCAUAAUUUUUAAAAAAAUUAUAUACUAAUUAAAUUUAAAGAAGAACAAAAGAAGUAAUUUUUUAGAAGUAUAUCGAAACACGUGUCUACUUAAGCAUAAAAUCUUGAAUUUAAAACUAAAAGUCAUAGUUAAAACGGAUUCCGUAAUUUCAAAUAAAUUAUACACUAAUUAAAUCAAAUUAGAACAAAAAAAUAAUUCUUUUAGAUUUUUUUCCUGAAAAACGCUAAAGCAGACACAUCGACGGAGACGUGUCUGCAUCAACGCGAACUCUUUCUUAUAUAAUAAGCAAAAAUCUACUAAAUAUCUAUCAAUAUUUGACCGUGAACUUAGAUAUUAAUGUAUUAUUAACUUGAAAUUUCAAUAGAAAUUCAUAAACUUUAAAUUCUGAAUCGCCUCUGAUCUAUUGGUGGCUUAAAUCUUGAAUUUUCUUGUCUUAAUGAUGUUAACUGAGAUCACAUUGGAUAUUCUAACAAUAGUUCAAAGAAUAUUGAUAAGUCAUCCUUUAUUGAAGCAGGAGUAAUCAAAACUUAUGGCCACUCAACAAUAUUAUCUGUCAUAUAAGGUCAGGUAUUCAUAAGGGGAGCCCUGAAAAAGAUGGUUAGGAAAUGAAAUUUAAUGUCAUAAAAAAAGCCUAUACAGCCCAUAGGUAUUACCAUUAUGCAUUUAAUAAAUGAACAUAAAUAUAUAAUCUUUAACUUAUGUGCAAAGCUCAAAGCUGAAAAUCAUAUGUGGAGUACCGUAUAUAAUCAGAAACCGUCUUUCUACCUUACAAACGGUCUUUAUCUGUAUGCAUAAUAUUAUCUCCAAACAACACUUGUGAGAGUACACUAGAUAUAUGAAAAACAAACAAACAUGAUUUUCACCAUUUCCAACCUUAAUGAACAUACUAUGAUUGUUUGGUUUUUGAAUGGUUCUUGUAUUCGCUUUGACUAAGAAAUCCCACUUUGUGGGGGUGGAGGUGCAAAACACUUCUUAACUUUAUAUAAGGAUCGAAUUCGAGAUUUCUAGUUAUGGUUCCUCUGUCUUCGCUUACGAGGGCAAAAGUACUUUGUCACUAGGGUUUCCUUUUCCUCAAUCAAGUUGGUUGUGUCAACCCUAAGAUUAGUUUGACAUUUUGUUAUGAGCUAACAGAAAGAUGGAUGAAAGUUCAGUUAAUAACAAUGGUACAUAACUAUAUAUGGCAAAAUUGUAGGAAUUGAAAAAGCCAAUUAACAUUAACUUGCACUUACACUGUGACACUUUAGCAUGGGACACUCUUUGAAGCUUCCUAAAAUUCCACUUUUGUUCUCUACAUAUUUUUGUUUUGUGGUUCUAAUAGUGCACUCUCAAAAUUUUCAAGUGUUUAUCAUGUUUUGUACAUGCAUUUCAUAUUUCCUCUUGUUGGUUAUUUACUAUGUCCCACUAUUUUUCUGCAUUCACUUGUGUACCUUUUAGAUAAUUCAGAUUGAUCUGAAUUCAGUACUUUCGAUAAUCAAUUAAGAGCAUAUUAUGUGUAAAAAAAAUCCAUGAUAAUUAACAAAUAGUAGAUGUGAACUGCUACUGUAAAGAUAUCAAUGUUAAGUUUGAUUGGUUCGAACCAGACCAAACUAAAUGCAUUUGUAAUUUUUAGUCGAUUUGAUUUGAUUUUUUGAUUCUAACAGCACAUCUUAUGAAAUAGUAUUGUGUCAAGUGAUUCAAAUUAGAUGACACUCCUAUCAAGAACAACAAUCACAUCUAUGAUGAUGAUAAAAAAAAAGGAAAACUUGUUCCAACUUACAAUUGGACACUUCUAUAACAUCGUUAUCUCGAUAUUUUUUGAUUGCUAUAGUAAAAUAUUUUUUUUUAAAGAACAUGAAUGUUUUAGUGAAUGUUGAUAAAAGAAGAAAGUUUAGGGAAAGAUCUCUAUUUUUGACGGAA